AUAUAUAUAUAUACAUAUACAUAUACAUAUAUAUAUUUAUAUAUAUAUAUAUAUAUAUAUAUAUAUAUAUAUAUAUAUAUAUAUAUAUAUAUAUAUAUAUAUAUAUAUAUAAAACGAUAGGAAAACAAGUUUUAGACCUGGAAUGCACGAAAGGCAAAAUAUAUUCUAAAACAGAAGAUAGAACAGAGAAAGAAAAAAAGGAAUACAGAUAAAGAGAAAGAAAGAAAGAAAGAAAGAAAUAGACAGAUAAAAGACAAAGCUACGAAUGAUGAGAUAGACAGAUAAACGUCAUUGCAAUGGAUUAUUGAUUUACAAUAGCUUUACAAACUCUCUGCUGAUCCCAUUUCUGCUUUUUAAAAUCUCAUUAUGUGUAAAUAACUAAAUAUGUGAUUAUGAUUUGCCUAUUACCUCCACUAAUUAACUAUCAGUAUACUCUCUUGUUGGUGCAGCUAUUUAGAUGCAUCUUAAUAGCCUCUGCUAUUGACUACUUAAUGUUGGAUUGCUAUUUAGUUUUAUUGAAUCCAUUUUAGCUCAUUAUUGCCACUAGGAUCAAGUUUUAUUCGUUUUCGUCUUAGAUACUUUUUUUUUAACCUUUUUUCUUUCGUGUUUAUAUUGCUUGUUUUCUUCUUUUUUUUUCUUCUUUUUAAUGUUUUAUUCUUAUCGUUUGUAUGUUUAGACUUGCGAUUUAUGUUGUACAUUUUAUUUCAGUUUAUUUUAAUUCUAAGUUACAUUUCCUCUGUUUCAUCUUCUUAUUCUCCUUCUUCUUCUUUUUCUUUUUCCAUUCCCUCUUCAUCAUCUUCUUCUUCUCCUUCUUCUUCUUCUUCUUCUCCUUCAUCUUUUAUUCCCUUUACCAUAAAACCAAACUUUUCAUUUUCUUCUUCAAGUUUAUCUUUUACAAAAGCUUUAAAAGUUUACUAACAUUCUUUAUAACAAGUUCAUAGAUUUAGAUUUAGAAAGAACAAAAUAUAAACAAAUAGAUAAAAAUCACAAGACAUAUAGAUAUAUAUAAAUAUAUUUACAUAUAAACCAUUCUUCAUCAUUCCAAUAGAAGUAUGGUGCUAUGUUAUCUUUUUAUCAUUAAUAAUAAUAAGUCUCUAAUUAACAUUUCUUUUUAUGUUAAUUACCAAUGCUAAACCCGGCUGUAGACACAAAAGUUAAAACAUGAUACAAGAACUAUCGCGUUAAAUCACUUUAGGACGUGCAUCUUACGUAACUGGGUAACGUACAUACACGCGUACAUAUGCGUACAUGGAUGUGUGAUAUACGGUAUUUUGCGUACAUGAUUACGUACAUAUACUUUGUUAAGAACUGUUUAGGUGAGUCGAAGGUAUGUGUAUACAUAUGCAUAUAAGAUUAAUGUGCUUGUAUACAAUGGUACACACAUGGCUGUAUUAGAACGUGUACGAAAGAAAUGAAAUUAACAAAUAACGAAGAGGGAAAAGGGAAACCGGAAAACAAAGAAAAGGAAAGAAGAAUACUAAAAUGGGGAAUCUGUGAGAAAGAAAGGUAGAAUAGUGUAUCAAGAGAAAGCAUAAGAAAUACAUUGAUAGAAAAGAAGGGAAAAUAUAUGAAUAAAGAAAAAAGACAGAAACAUAAUGUGUGUAAUUCUUUGUCUAGUUAUAACAAGCGUAUUCAGUAUAUAUUCCAGGCUUAGAACUUUUUUUAUGUUUUUUUUCUUUCAUUAUCUCCUAAUAUGCUUAAGAUUUUAUUUUCAGUUAUUGUAGGGAAAGUUCAAUGAACAUAAUUUGUAAAGGAUAUUUAUGUGUGUGUGUGUGUGUGUGUGUAUGUGUGUGUGUGUGUGUGUGUGUGUGUGUGUGUGUGUGUGUGUGUGUGUGUGUGUGUGUGUGUGUGUGUGUGUGUGUGUGUGUGUGUGUGUGUGUGCGGCUACAUAUUCUUGACUAUCUACUAUAAGCCUUACGUAUAUCGUGAGGAAACCUGACAUUGCCUCAGCCGAAGACUAUACAAGUCUGCAAGCGAGGCAAAUCAAACCAAAUCCACAUGGUGUGUUCUCCACGCUACACCCUUCCUCCACCUCAUCUCUCGUAUUCCUCAUUUCUUUUACCUCUCUCUUUAUUUUUGCUCUUCUUCUUUUCUCUCUUCUUCCCGUCCGCCCACUCGCCAUUGCCCUCUCUGUGUCUUUACCUCAAAAAUGGCGGGAUAGAAAGAGUGGAUGAAAGGGAAGAUGGGAAGGCGAAGAAAGGAGGAGAUAAAGAUGGGUAGAUGAAGAUGGGAACGCAAGAGGAGCUGGGAAAGUAGGUUUAUAACAGACCAUGUGGGAGAGAGAGAGAGAGAGAGCGAGCUUUUUGUCAAUAGACGAAAGUUCACAAACUAAUUUUUUGCCCGAGUAGUUAUUAAGACAUUUUUUCAACUUUUUUUUUUUUUUUGAUGUAGAAUUAUAGUUCAUAGAUUUCAGAUAUUUCAUUCUAUAGAUUUUAUCCGCCCUAAAAAGUUAGGCUAGGAUAAUGGAUAACAUAUAAUAUAUCUUUUUUUUUAAUAGGAGGAUAUUAGAUUUCCGAAAAAAAAACUUAGGUUUAAGGCCUUUUCAUCACCAUCAUAACCUUAAGAAUGGUGACCUUUUCCCUAUAUAUAUGAAGGCGAAUGCGAGGGUUACUGACGUCAGAAGAUCCAGUGACGUCACUAAGUUAAAAUGGGAAGGAAGAUAUCUUGCUGAAAGUAGGAACAUUUUGCUUGAUAUAUGAAAUGUAGACAAUCAAAUGAACACUUCUAGCGGAAAUGCGCUAACGAUAGCUAGAAAAAAAUGACAAUCAGUACAUAGCAACAAGGAUAUAUGGCGGGACGGAUCUGGUCUUCUGUUUGUUAUGGCUCUCGGAGGGGCAAACAUGCAUUUAGGAAAAAGACACUAUUCCUCUGGUCAUAAUGGUGAUGAUGGUGAUGAUGAUGAUGAUAUCCAAUGAUGAUGAUGACUUACGAUGAUGAAGAUAUUCGACGAUACAAUAACUGUAUUUUUCCCUAUCAGCCUUCAGACAAAUCGGCCAUUUUCUUUACCCGCUUACAAUGACGAAUGCAGGACUGUUUUUGUUCUUAUUUUUGUUUAAUCUGUUCUGGAGGGGUGAUUGUGACCGGGUAGAGAGGGUGAUCUGUCGAAUGAUGGUGAACUCACUAUACAUUCAUCUACGCAGACUGCUAUCUUUGUCCAAUUAUACUGGCGAAUGCAAGAACAAUUUUUUUUUUUUUUUUUUUUUUUUUGUCUUGGAGGGGCGAGUGUGAUGAGGCAGAGAUCGUGUUUUGCGUGAUGAUUGUGAUGAAACUGAUGACUUGACAGUAACGAAAAUGACAAACAGAAUAAUUGACUCUUAUAGUGAUGCUCAUAGUGACGUCACGAAUGAUAGUGACACCAUAUCAAUAAUGCCACUUGUAAGACCAUAGGAAUCACACAUAAUGUAAUAUUGAGUCUCAACUCAACAAUACUUUCACCAUCAUCAUUAUGCAGAUCACUAUAUCACCUCUUCACGCACCAUCACUGACGAAUGCAGAAUCAACCAUAUGGUGACCUGGAGGGGUGAGUGAUGGUGCAGGGAGAUGGUGAUUUGCAUAACGAUGGUGACAACGAUAAUGACUAUAAAAUAACUAUAUAAAUAACAACAAUGAUUGUGAUGAUGUAAAGAAUAGCAUGAUGAUUGAUGGUGACUUUGAAGAUGAUGGCAAUUUAGGAUAAUGAUUAUAGUGACGAAAUGACUAGGCUAACAACACUGAUGAUAUGACAGUGAGGAUAAUCAUGACAUGACGAUGAAAGACAUGUAAGAGGAAAAAAAUAGUGGGUUUAAAUACACCAAAAA
rnacentral:lncRNA from 1 species